ACUUCAAGCAUUCCUGCUGGCAGAAGUUGAUAGUGAAGGAACGAGGCUGCAGGCGGCAGACCAGGUACAUGUCUGACAUCCCGAAGGCCCCAGGGCUCCUGUGUUGCUGCCGGAUGCUCAACAGGGACCUGAAUUCUGACUUGACACCAGUCUCUUCAAAAACCUCUCGGACUGCUGUGUCUGCUAUGUGAGAGAGAGAGAGACACACACACACACACACACACAAACAUAAAGAUUUCAUCCUUAGAGACGCCGUCAAAGAUUUUCAGUUAAAAUCUGGAAGAUUAAAAGCAAAAAUUUGUCUUCAAACUGCUUUCUGGACAUUGUGAAAUGUACUUUGCAUCUAAGACACUGAGAGUCUUUCUGGAGGCUUAUGCACGUGUAUAUUGGAAGUCACAUCUUCUUAUCCUCUUCCUGUUCUGUUACCCAAAUGCAAGAACACGUUUGCAAACAAAGCUGAAGUUAAUAUGUUGAUAAAUCCUUCACUAUUGUCCCAUUUCAAGCUUCCAUCAAACUGCCGGAGUUUGUGGAUGUCUGAAUUGAAAGGACCCGUCCCUUGUUACAGAAGUCUGUAGUGCUGAACAUACUUGAGUGAGCUGUGAAAUGACUCUGACUUCUUUGGGAUCUCAAGCCCACUGCCCCUCCCCUCACUCAGGGCAAGGCCCUUUGCUCCUGCCCUGGCCGCCAAUGGACCCAAGCUUGAUAUAGAAACUGCAUUUCUUUGAAAUCAGAUUGUAUAGAACUUGGGACUCACUAACACCAAAAUGGAAUAGCUGUCUCAUCAGAUAUCUUUGUAAGGCUGGAAACACAUAACAAUUUUAUAAUACACCAAGGGUUUUCAUAUGUUAUAAAUAUUUUCAUUAAAUACAAGUUUCCAUGGCAGGACUUUUAUGUCCAUUAACAUACAUUUAUGUCCAGUUUUUCUAGACACAUACGAAGUCUGCACAAAUAGACUUCCCCAGUUCUGAUGCUCUAUAGCUGUCUGCCUUAGAUGCUUUUCUGGUAGUCUUCAGAAUUGCUGUUGAUUGUUUAAAUACCUUCUAAUGCCUCUCUGGAUGUUUGUUAGGCAGCAUAUACAUGUGUCUUGCCAGUAGUCCUACUGAUAACAUCCAUGCAAUGAAGAGCUAUUAGAAACACAUAGUUCCUGUGCACUCAAACCACACUGUCUUUCCUGCCCACUGGACACAUACCAGCCCCCAAGACAUGCUCUUGUUCCUAAGAAAGAGUUCUGGAAAGGAUCACAGGAAGAGUAAUUUGAUCUAAAACAUAAGACAUCUAGCUGCCAUUCUUUAACUAUAUGCUGACUUUCUCUGUGAAUGAGAUCUGUCCAUAGGUUAGGCAUGGCCAGAAAUUACAUUCUAAAACUGCAAGCACCAAGACCAGGUACAUAGCUCAGCAUGUAUACUACCUGUCUCACAUGUGUGGGGUGCUUAGUACAGUUCCCAGGACCAACCACACAAUGGGGGAGGGAAUGGAGGCAUCAAAGAACAGUCUAGGCUCACAAAGUUUCUCUAGUAAGAAAAUAGUUCUUAUCUAGCAUAUAAUACAUUAUUAAAUUUAUUACUAAAAAUUGUGGCACUACUCUUAAAUGUUUAUAUAGUGGCUUCUAACUCUUGUUUAAAUAUAUACUUAUAUUCUUUAAAGGUUCUAGAAAAUAAACUUGGGGAUCCUGCUCAGUUCCUAGCACCACUAAUCUGACUCGCUGUAGGUAAAUUACAGAAUAGGACAGAGUAGAUGAAAGAAUGGGUGUCGUGCUUAGCAGUCAUUGUGGCACUAUGGGGGUGACAGGACAAACACUAUCUGUGAAGUUCGUAUAGUUUAACGUGAAUCAGCACAUCCCCUAACUAGCUGAAACCGGAUAAUGCAAGCCAAUAAUUCUGCAUCUGAGAUGUGGGAUAUUCUCCCCUUCCACCUCAAAAUGGAAGUCUCUCCCUUGGUUUCAACAUGCAUUUAAGUUCAUCAAGAUAAACUGUUAUUCUUUUAGAAUUAUCUUAGUAGACUUUAAACUCAGCUGAAAUAAUAAUUACUGCAUAUGAAGAAUCUAGAAGCUCAGUUUUGCUGAUGAAGAGAUGUUUGAAUGUUAGAUGUUCUGAGGUUUCUCUGUUCUGUAGUAUGUAGGGAGAGGGCAGCUUGAGAUGGAAGAGAGUGAUGGGAAGCCUCCAGCAUGUGGCUUUCCUUGAGCUCCCUCUAGUCCUGGUUAGCAUUUCUGGCUGGCUGAAACAGGACACGGUUUUCACCCAUGGCAAUGACAUAUUUUAGGAAGGGCUUUUGUUCCUUUGAAUCGUACAGACACUUUUAGACUCAAGCCUUGAGGACUUCAAUUUGUUUUGCAUUUUCCCAACUUAGUUUCUUAAAAACACUUUGCAUAUCAAUGUUUCAUCUAUCUAGCAUUAUCAGAGAAUGAAAGAUUCCAAACAAAUGAGUUUCCAAAUUAACUAGUAUUUAUUUACCAGAAUUUUGCAACAGUCUAGUUAACAGCCAAUAAAUGUUGAACUGUUCAUGAUGGCAACAUUCCAAAAUUUUAUUUCAUGCUUCCUAAACAAAGGUUUCAAGAAUAUAAUUUCCAUAUGCUCUAGACAAUCAGAGAGUUUUUAUUUUGUACUAUGCUGUCAAAUUGUGCUAUAGAAGCAGGCUGGAGAAGGGCAAGUCUAGGAGAAUGGUGAAUGUCAGCUUCUGCUUUUGUUUUUAGUUCAGAUGGGUGAGCUAUUUUGAUAACCACAGGUACUUUAAGAAAACUAGUAGUACAUUUAAAAUUAUCUAGGCUUAAAGGAAUGAUUCUGGAAUUAAACUUAAACCCGAAUUUAUACGUAUUUAACUUGAAAAUAUGCUCCCCCUCAUUUAUAUCUAAGUCUGCCUGAAAUUCUUAGGAUCUACUAAAGCUCAAAGAGGGAAUAAACCCUCACCUUAAUUCAUUUGACAAGGUAUGCAGGGCUGCAGCUGGCUUCCCCCAGUGUGGAGGGGGAGAAGACUAGACUUGAGUUACCUCAUUCACAUGCUCUCAAUACCACAUAGGUAACGGCAGUAUUGAAAGACAGAGAAAAUGAAGAAGGCAGCUUUAAUGGGAAAAAAUGGCCCUUGCUCUCAGUAUCUGGUGCCCCUACAAAAUACAGAUGUGUUUGCACAUAGCAUGGUCUGAGUAGCACAGGGCCUUGAUACACCUUCCUUCUUCCUCAGCCUCCUUCUGCUGUGAGGAGCAGGCAUGUGCCAUCACACCCAGGUCCUCAGAGUACACACUGUCACUAGACUACCCACCAGAGAACUAAGGAAACAGGUCAGUGAGAACCUCACACCAGGGUUUGUUUUCUGUGUGUGAAUGUCAUGAAUGUUGCUCAUGGGCUGCUAGGAUCUGGACUUGUAAAUACAUACAGGGCAUUUUGAUCUGUACAACACUUAAAAAUCAGAUCUCAUGAACAUAUAUUCAAACAAAAUAAACACAGGAGACUGCUCUAAUACAGUGGCUGGUUAAGAAGAAAUAAGAAUGUGCAUAUUAAAGAAAGGCCUUUGAGAAACAAUAUUGGUAUCUAAUGUAUUACGUACCAAUAAGGAUGAUGUUGAAUUUAAGCUAGUGGUUUAAGGGUCAGCAUGAUUCUAUACUUUGCAGAUCAGUGACUAAGUGCAGAGUUCAUCCUAGCUCCCUACAGGCUGACUUGGAGGGAGGGGGGACAUGUUAUUUGCCACUCAAGACUUUCUCACAGGUAACUUAUUAUGUUUUAUGUUAUUCAAAAUAGCUGGCAAAAUUUCCAAAGGAGAUUUACAUCACUAUUUCCUUAUAGUUAGUUUUACUGUACUUCAAGAUUUAUCUAGAAAUUAUUAAUCUAAAAAUUAUUUAUCUAAAAAUUAUUCACCAAUCUGUGAUAAAAUGGUCAAGACUUCAAAACUUAAUAAUUGUAGCCAUAUUUGAAAAAAUCUUUAUAAUUACUAAUACUGAUGAACAACUCAAGCCUCUUCCUUCCAGAUGACCUCAGAGAACCAUUGGAAAGGGGCUCCCGCAUAGCUAUCAACUGUACAGGCGAAAUGACUGUGUUAGAAAGUUCUUGCUAACUUUGUAUCCCUCUGAAGAAAUCUGUCUGAAUUUUUCUAACUUAGUGUGAACCAAUUGGAAACUCCCAAUUCUUAUUCUUAGCUACAGAGCAGGGAAGUAAAGCUAUGACUUUUGUAAACAUUUUCAAGUUUAUCAGACAUGUACAAGUACAUACCAAUAUCUUCUCCUGGCUCCGACAGGCCUCCUGGAAACUUCCACAUGUUUUUCAACUACAGUGCAAAGUAAAAAUAAAAAAGGUUCAUGUCCUGACUUCCUCUCUUCCUCCCCUCUCUCCCCACUCCCACCUCGGCCACUCAGUUGGCCAAGGACGGAAGAACUAGUUUGCAUUAUGUUUAUCCCUAUUCCCCACCCCAGCUUUCUUACUGCUCCAUGUGCUCUCUUUUGAGGGAGAUGGUGAUGGAUGAAGUCUUUUCCUCUUACUCUUCAGGAAAUAGAAGUGGUGUUAUUUAGUUAAUGUGAUACGACUUGUGUUAACGAACCUUCGGAGGGAAAUAUCUAUUCAGUUGUGUACUUCACGGAACUCAGCUGCUAGUUAACUAUGAACCGAUAGGAUUUUACGGAUGCUGCUAUGAGUAAGUAGAGUACAGAAUAAAUGUAACCGCCAAGGUAUGCUACCCUAGAGUUUUACAUGCCUUUACUGUAUUUUGUUUCUAAUCACAGGUAUUACUCAAGAUUUCUGUGUGUUUACUGUUUUAUGCAAAAUGUAAUUGCUUUUUAUGGGUAGUGUGAAUAAAGUUAUUCUGGUUUCUUGGC
rnacentral:lncRNA from 1 species